CCAUCAUCACCAUCACCCUGACUAGUCUUUCAGGCGAUGUGUGCUGGAAGACGUUUGGAUCUUCCAGCGGUGCAUGAACGCAAAGAAAGCCCCCGGAAGAUCGCUCUUCCGGGGGCUUUUUUGU
rfam:Pluralibacter gergoviae strain JS81F13 contig_2, whole genome shotgun sequence.